rnacentral:rRNA from 1 species
GUAGGUGGCAAGCGUUGUCCGGAAUUAUUGGGCGUAAAGCGCGCGCAGGCGGUUCUUUAAGUCUGAUGUGAAAGCCCACGGGCUCAACCGUGGAGGGUCAUUGGAAACUGGAGAACUUGAGUACAGAAGAGGAAAGCGGAAUUCCACGUGUAGCGGUGAAAUGCGUAGAGAUGUGGAGGAACACCAGUGGCGAAGGCGGCUUUCUGGUCUGUAACUGACGCUGAGGCGCGAAAGCGUGGGGAGCAAACAGAAUUAGAUACCCUGGUAGUCCACGCCGUAAACGAUGAGUGCUAAGUGUUAGGGGGUUUCCGCCCCUUAGUGCUGCAGCUAACGCAUUAAGCACUCCGCCUGGGGAGUACGGCCGCAAGGCUG